rnacentral:rRNA from 1 species
GACGAACGCUUUCUUCGUGCUUAACACAUGCAAGUCGAACGGAAGGGCCCUGCUUUUGUGGGGUGCUCGAGUGGCGAACGGGUGAGUAACACGUGAGUAACCUGCCCUUGACUUUGGGAUAACUUCAGGAAACUGGGGCUAAUACCGGAUAGGAGCUCCUGCUGCAUGGUGGGGGUUGGAAAGUUUCGGCGGUUGGGGAUGGACUCGCGGCUUAUCAGCUUGUUGGUGGGGUAGUGGCUUACCAAGGCUUUGACGGGUAGCCGGCCUGAGAGGGUGACCGGCCACAUUGGGACUGAGAUACGGCCCAGACUCCUACGGGAGGCAGCAGUGGGGAAUAUUGCACAAUGGGCGGAAGCCUGAUGCAGCAACGCCGCGUGCGGGAUGACGGCCUUCGGGUUGUAAACCGCUUUCGCCUGUGACGAAGCGUGAGUGACGGUAAUGGGUAAAGAAGCACCGGCUAACUACGUG